rnacentral:rRNA from 1 species
UCUCCUACGGGAGGCAGCAGAGGGGAAUAUUGCGCAAUGGGGGAAACCCUGACGCAGCAACGCCGCGUGAGUGAAGAAGGCCUUCGGGUUGUAAAGCUCUUUAAUCAGGGACGAAGAAUGACGGUACCUGAAGAAUAAGCUCCGGCUAACUACGUGCCAGCAGCCGCGGUAAUACGUAGGGGGCAAGCGUUAUCCGGAUUUACUGGGUGUAAAGGGAGCGUAGACGGCAGCGCAAGUCUGGAGUGAAAUCCCAUGGCUUAACCAUGGAACUGCUUUGGAAACUGUGCAGCUAGAGUGCAGGAGAG